AAGASCUUGCGCUUUUGGAGCGGCCGAUGUCUGAUUAGCUAGUUGGUGGGGUAAUGGCCUACCAAAGCUUCGAUCAGUAGCUGGUCUGAGAGGACGGCCAGCCACACUGGGACUGAGACACGGCCCAGACUCCUACGGGAGGCAGCAGUGGGGAAUUUUGGACAAUGGGCGCAAGCCUGAUCCAGCCAUGCCGCGUGAGUGAAGAAGGCCUUCGGGUUGUAAAGCUCUUUCAGCCGGGAAGAAAAGGCUGCGACUAAUAAUCGCAGUUCAUGACGGUACCGGAAGAAGAAGCACCGGCUAACUACGUGCCAGCAGCCGCGGUAAUACGUAGGGUGCGAGCGUUAAUCGGAAUUACUGGGCGUGAAGGGUGCGCAGGCGGUUUUGUAAGUCAGAUGUGAAAUCCCCGGGCUUAACCUGGGAACU
rnacentral:rRNA from 1 species